rnacentral:rRNA from 1 species
GGAAUAUUGCACAAUGGGCGGAAGCCUGAUACAGCGACGCCGCGUGAGGGAUGAAGGCCUUCGGGUUGUAAACCUCUUUCAGCAGGGACGAAGCGUGAGUGACGGUACCUGCAGAAGAAGCACCGGCUAACUACGUGCCAGCAGCCGCGGUAAUACGUAGGGUGCGAGCGUUGUCCGGAAUUACUGGGCGUAAAGAGUUCGUAGGCGGUUUGUCGCGUCGUUUGUGAAAACCCGGGGCUCAACUUCGGGCUUGCAGGCGAUACGGGCAGACUUGAGUGUUUCAGGGGAGACUGGAAUUCCUGGUGUAGCGGUGAAAUGCGCAGAUAUCAGGAGGAACACCGGUGGCGAAGGCGGGUCUCUGGGAAACAACUGACGCUGAGGAACGAAAGCGUGGGUAGCAAACAGGAUUAGAUACCCCAG